rfam:Heterocephalus glaber contig68469, whole genome shotgun sequence.
UGGCACCCAGCGUGGGGCCAGAGAACGGGGGAUCCAGUGAAGAAUGCUGCUGGGGUACCCAAUAAAAUAAAAUAGAAAAAAGAGGAAUGCAUCUGAUGUGAACGUGCCAUCUUUCCUGUACCUCGGUGAGUUGAGCAGCGAUUAUGGGACAGCGCAUUAGCUAGCAUGAGUUAUUUGUACAAGGUCUUAAAGAAACUUUACAGGCACGAGGGGUAAAGGUCACAGUCAAACAGUUUUUAAAAUUUUUUGAUUGUAUUAAAGAUCUCUGCCCUU